rnacentral:rRNA from 1 species
GAUGAACGCUGGCGGCGUGCCUAAUACAUGCAAGUCGAGCGAACGGACGAGAAGCUCGCUUCUCUGAUGUUAGCGGCGGACGGGUGAGUAACACGUGGAUAACCUACCUAUAAGACUGGGAUAACUUCGGGAAACCGUAGCUAAUACCGGAUAAUAUUUUGAACCGCAUGGUUCAAAAGUGACAGACGGUCCUGCUGUCACUUAUAGAUGGAUCCGCGCUGCAUUAGCUAGUUGGUAAGGUACCGGCUUACCAAGGCAACGAUGCAUAGCCGACCUGAGAGGGUGAUCGGCCAGACUGGAACUGAGACACGGUCAGAACUCCUAAGGGAGGCAGCAGUAGGGAAUCUUCCGCAAUGGGCGAAAGACUGACAGAGCAACGCCGCGUGAGUGAUGAAGGUCUUCGGAUCGUAAAACUCUGUUAUUAGGGAAGAACAGAUGUGAAAGUAACUGUGCAAAUCUUGACGGUAGCUAAUCAGGAAGCCACGGCUAACUACGUA